CAGCAGCCGCGGGAAUACGGAGGGAGCUAGCGUUGUUCGGAAUUACUGGGCGUAAAGCGCACGUAGGCGGCUUUGUAAGUUAGAGGUGAAAGCCUGGAGCUCAACUCCAGAAUUGCCUUUAAGACUGCAUCGCUUGAAUCCAGGAGAGGUGAGUGGAAUUCCGAGUGUAGAGGUGAAAUUCGUAGAUAUUCGGAAGAACACCAGUGGCGAAGGCGGCUCACUGGACUGGUAUUGACGCUGAGGUGCGAAAGCGUGGGGAGCAAACAGGAUUAGAUACCCCAGUAGUCCCUGUCUCUUAUAC
rnacentral:rRNA from 1 species